CCAUGAAUUACGGAAACUUUCUUUACUGGCACAUUGUAAUAUUUAAUUUCUUAACAGUGUGCAGAUGACGUCUCUCCACCCCCUCAACUUAUGUCAUCCAGGAGUCAAAGGAGAACAAAGGCCAAGAACUAUAUGUUUAAAACCCUUAACAACAACAACAACAACAAAAUCAAUAAGGCAGCUCAACGAAAUAAUUCAGCACGAGAUCGCUAUUAAAAUCAAUUUACCUGGCAGUGAGAACAACUAA
rnacentral:lncRNA from 1 species